rnacentral:rRNA from 1 species
GAUGAACGCUGGCGGCGUGCUUAACACAUGCAAGUCGAACGGUGAAGCAGGAGCUUGCUCUUGUGGAUCAGUGGCGAACGGGUGAGUAACACGUGAGCAACCUGCCCCUGACCCUGGGAUAAGCGCUGGAAACGGCGUCUAAUACUGGAUAUGUGAUGUGACCGCAUGGUCUGCAUCUGGAAAGAAUUUCGGUUGGGGAUGGGCUCGCGGCCUAUCAGCUUGUUGGUGAGGUAAUGGCUCACCAAGGCGUCGACGGGUAGCCGGCCUGAGAGGGUGACCGGCCACACUGGGACUGAGACACUGCCCAGACUCCUACGGGAGGCAGCAGCGGGGAAUAUUGCACAAUGGGCGGAAGCCUGAUGCAGCAACGCCGCGUGAGGGAUGACGGCCUUCGGGUUGUAAACCUCUUUUAGCAGGGAAGAAGCGAAAGUGACGGUACCUGCAGAAAAAGCACCGGCUAACUACGUGCCAGCCGCCGCAGUAA